rnacentral:rRNA from 1 species
AUUGAACGCUGGCGGCAGGCUUAACACAUGCAAGUCCAGCGAGCGGCGGACGGGUGAGUAAUUUCUGGGAAACUGCCUGAUGGAGGGGGAUAACUACUGGAAACGGUCGCUAAUACCGCAUACCCUCAGAUGUUCCCCGAUGGGAUUAUCUAGUAGGUGGGGUAAUGGAUCACCUAGUCGACGGUCCCUAGCUGGUCUGAGAGGAAGACGUGCAAGACUGUAACUGAGACACGGUACAGACGCCGACGGAAGGCAGGAGAGGUGAAUAUUGCACAAUGGGCGAAAUCCUGAUGCAGACAUGCCGCGUGUGUGAAGAAGGCUUUCGGGUUGUAAAGCACUUUCAGCGAGGAGGCGUUACCCGCAGAAGAAGCACCGGCUAACUCCGUGCCAGCAGCCGGGGGAAUUC